rnacentral:lncRNA from 1 species
AUGGUGUCCCCUGUGCGGGUGCAUAGCCCGGUGUGGUACAUACCAGCUCCUCGUAUCGGCCGGGUUAGAGUGGGCAUCGAGCCAAGUGCCAUGGAGCCAGCUCUACGCAUCUGGUCUCCAGUGCGUCUCCUUGGGCCGGUGUACAUGGCACCAGCCUUACGCAUGGUGUCCCCGGUUCGCCUGCAGAGCCCAGUGCGGGCUAUUCCACCUCGCCGCACUGGCAGGGCGACCGGGAGCAUUCAACCGACCGGGAGCAUUGGGCAGGCUCGGUGCUCAAGAGCUCCAGUGCGCCUGCACGGUCCAGUCUAUCCAGUGCCACCUCCACGCACUAGCCCUCCGGAGGCAGCUCCCCGUACCAGGCUUCCUGUGCGUGUCCAGAGCCCAGUACUCCCUGUUCCUCCUCCCCGCACUCGCCCUGAGGUGCGUGUUCUCGGCCCAGUACCACCAGCGCCGGCACCACGCACCAGGCCUAGAGUGCGCCCCGCUUGUCCAGCGCUGCUAGAGCCUUCCUCCUCUCCAGCGCCGCUAGAGCCUCCCGCCUGUCCAGAGCCGCUAGAGUCUCCCGCCUGUCCAGAGCUGCAAGUCUCCCGCCUGUCCAGAGCUGCUAGAGUCUCCCGCCUGUCCAGUCUGCAAGGAGCUGCCAGUCUGCAAGGAGCCGCCAGUCUGCAGGGAGCCGCCAGAGCCACCAGUCUGCAAGGAGCCGCCAGUCUGCAAGGAACCGCCAGUCUGCCAGAGCCGCCAGUCAGCCAGGAGCCGCCAUUCAGCCAGGAUCCGCCAUUCAGCCAGGAUCCGCCAGUCCGCCAGAAUCCUCCAGUGCCGCCAGUCGGCCAGGAUCCGCCAGUCGGCCAGGAUUCGCCAGAGCCGCCAUUCAGCCAGGAUCUGCCAGAGCCGCCAGUCAGCCAGGAUCCGCCAGAGCCGCCAGUCAGCCAGGAUCCGCCAGUCAGCCAGGAUCCACCAUUCAGCCAGGAUCCGCCAGUCAGCCUGGAUCCGCCAGAGCCGCCAGUCGGCCAGGAUCCGCCAGAGCAGCCAGGAUCCGCCAGAGCGGCCAAGAUCCGCCAGAGCCGCCAUUCAGCCAGGAUCCGCCAGAGCCGCCAUUCAGCCAGGAUCCGCCAGAGCCGCCAUUCAGCCAGGAUCCGCCAGUCAGCCUGGAUCCGCCAGAGUCGUCAACCAGCCUGA